UAUGACCCGGCAACCGUUUUUCUUCGCAUUCUUUUUUACCUUCCCCUGAACGGGAGGCAAUUCGUCGUGUGACAGAGAAUGCGAAGACGAACACCAGGGCCUCCCAAACCGGGGGGCCUUUUUUAU
rfam:Shimwellia blattae DSM 4481 = NBRC 105725, complete genome.